ensembl:snRNA U4 U4 spliceosomal RNA
AUUCUUGUGCAGAGGCAAUUUCAUAGUCUAUGAAGUUCUACUGAGACGUGAUUAUUGCUGGUUGAAAACUUUAACCAAUUCCCGCCUUGAUGACUUGAAACACAGUCAGCUAUGGCAAUUUUUGCUGGUUUCUCAGGAGA